GUGCAGACAGCCCUGCCCAGGCCCCUGAGGGCGGAGGCUCCGGGGAGAGUGCCACCUGACUAAUGGAGGGUGAAACCCGGCCCGGCAGGGAGGGGGUGGUAAUAAGUCCCCAGUCUCUCUCACCUCCACCCUCCAAGCUCCUGCUGUUGCUUGCCAUGGACUGAAGCAUGGAAGCCAGAGGAUGUGGCAGAACGACAACGGGCUGGUUCUGAGCCUCGGCCUCAAGAGGACACACAUGUCCACUCGCUGUCUUGGACCCCUGCCACUGCUGCCAUGAGGACAGCCUGGGCUAGCCCACCGGAGGAUGAAGGAACUGCAGAGAGAGGCCCCAUCCACCCUCACCCAGGCCCGCCUAGACCUGACAGCCCCAGUCACCUAGGGUGACCCACUGCUUCAUUUGCCCAGGAUUGAGGGGUCACCUGGGAUGUAGGUCUUUCAGUGCUAUAACUGGGGCAGUUCCAGGCAAACCAGGACGGUUGAUCACCCUACAGUUGACUCACCAGCUGAUUCAGGUGCAGGAAUAAGCCCACCUGAGUUCAGAAGAGCUAGCCAGCUGACCUGUAAAUGCUUAUUGUUUGAAACCAAUAGAGCAUGAAUUUGGGAGGCUGAAUUUGGGAAGCCAUUUGUUAGACAGCAAAAACUAACAAGGGCACCUUCUCCAUUUCUCUGUGAAGAUCUCAGAG
ensembl:lncRNA